GGUGCCUUAGUUGGGCCUUUUGGUUUGUUCCCAAAAAAGAGUGGGUGUAAUCCAAAAAGUGGGUUCUCUGGGUCAGUCUUCUCCUCUUAUCAAAGGAAACCCUAUCACCGUUAACGAAGAACGCCACCGCAGGUCUCGUAACUCUUUCUGUACCUGGCGAUUGGCUACUGCGUCUAUUCCGGGUGCUCCCUCCUAUUUAGCGAGUUAUCCACGGACGCCAAUCUCCAGGUUAUGCGUCAUACCCAGGGAUCGGUGGUGCUCACGGAAGUCGUCUUGGUCAGAUGCGCUAGUUGCGCAGUCAGUCGUGUUGCUCAUCCUCCGCCGUGCUUGUCAGUCGAAGGUAACAGCUGCUCGGCCCACUGAAUGAUUAGCUUUGAGUGUUGGCAUCGAAACGUGAUCAGGAUUAGGAAUCCAUGGAUUAGGGUACUUUCCUCCAACAAUUUCACAGGAGAGCUAACUGCAACCAGUUGCCAACCUCAGUUACUUACAGUAUAUAAAUAUUACAGGGAGUGGACUAAGUGAGCCAAUUCCUUCUAGUAUUUCAAAAUUGAGCAACUUAACUGACUGGAGAAUAAGUUAUUUGAGUGGAUCCGAAAUUUCAAGUUUUCCCGAACUUAGUACUAAGUCGAUGAGAUAUCUGAUUUAAAGGUGUUGCAACAUUCAUGGAACACUUUAAAGGAUCUUGAACUCCGACAAUAAUAUAGACCUCAGCUUUAACAAAUUGAUUGGACCAAUUCCACCUUCCUAUGAGAAGUUGACAAAAAUUUUUAACUGGAAACCUUCUCUGUGGAUCAGUGCCUUCAUGGACGAGCGAUGCUACCAGGUUAUAAUAAUUUCUUUAUCAAAUACCACUUUUUAGUUAGUUGUUUUAGUUAAACACAAUCAUUAAUUUUUUAUUGUUUUAUAUGUUAUCAGUUAAAUUUACUUCUUAAGAGGUUUCUCUAUAGUGUGUGUUUGAUGAACAUCUCCCAUUAUUUUGUUGCAUCUCCCAUUUAUUCUGAAUCACAUUCUAUCCCUUGUAUAUACUAUAAAAUCCCCCUUUGCGUCUAAAUAUUGGAGCUGUUAUGAAAUUGAGGAAUUGUAGCACCCUACUAAGCAUGGACACCUUCACAGACACUAGAGACAUGAACAUAGUAAUUUAAAUUUUUUGUUUCGCAGGGGACAUGCCAGAAGUAUAUCAUGAAAAAAAAGUUGUAAAUGAUUUAUAAUUAGAUCUUCAUGUGUUUUUUAUAAUAUAAGACCCACUGAAGUUUUUUUGUAUUUUAAUUCUUGCCACUAAAUUCUAAAAAGGGUUUUUUACCCUGUUGUCUACGAUUUUGCUUGGAACCUUGUUGAACUUAUGGUGGUUUUUGAGUAGAUGUAUUUAUAGUAAAUCGAAACUAAUGGAGUUGAUUUAUCAUUAGCCAGAUACAUGUAUAAAUCGAACAAAAAGAAUUCGAUUUACGAAGGAGGCUAAGUCGAAGUUUUUUUUAUUCGAUUUAGUAGUUUGCAUUUAAGUCCAUACUCAUUGAUUCGAUUUACUAGUGUUUGUUCUAAUUCGAAUUCGUUCAACGCAAUUUAUAUUUAAUCAGUAAAGUUGAAACUA